ACAUCUCUGAGGUGUUCGCCAGCGGGUCAAUUUCCCCUGAGCCGAUAUCUACACCAUUGGAUGUGUUCUGUAUAUUUAGAGUGUAUGCCUGCCUUCGAGUAGGAAACCCAGCAAGUAUGCGUCGCGUCCACCUUGAACUUUAGGGUUCAAGGGUAAUGACAUGCAGCGGCAUCAUCGGAGUGUU
rnacentral:other from 1 species